CCUACGGGUGGCUGCAGUAAGGAAUAUUGGUCAAUGGACGAAAGUCUGAACCAGCCAUCCCGCGUGCAGGAUGAAAGCCCUAUGGGUUGUAAACUGCUUUUAGCAGAGAAGAAAAGCUUUCAUUAAUGAGAGUCUGACGGUAUCUGCAGAAUAAGCACCGGCUAACUCCGUGCCAGCAGCCGCGGUAAUACGGAGGGUGCGGGCGUUAUCCGGAAUUACGGGGUUGAAAGGGUGCGAUGACGGAGUAGUUGAAAACUUGUCGCUUAACGAUAGAAUUGCCAAUGAUACUGGUACUCUUGAAUUGGGUUGAGGUUAGCGGAAUGUGACAUGUAGCGGUGAAAUGCAUAGAUAUGUCAUGGAACACCAAUUGCGAAGGCAGCUAACUGGGCCUUGAUUGACGCUGAGGCACGAAAGCGUGGGUAGCGAACAGGAUUAGAUACCCGAGUAGUC
rnacentral:rRNA from 1 species